rnacentral:rRNA from 1 species
GUGUUGAUGUUCUAACGUCGACCCCUAAUCGGGGUUGCGGACAGUGCCUGGUGGGUAGUUUGACUGGGGCGGUCUCCUCCCAAAGAGUAACGGAGGAGCACGAAGGUGGGCUAAUCACGGUUGGACAUCGUGAGGUUAGUGCAAUGGCAUAAGCCCGCUUGACUGCGAGAAUGACAAUUCGAGCAGGUGCGAAAGCAGGUCAUAGUGAUCCGGUGGUUCUGAAUGGAAGGGCCAUCGCUCAACGGAUAAAAGGUACUCCGGGGAUAACAGGCUGAUACCGCCCAAGAGUUCAUAUCGACGGCGGUGUUUGGCACCUCGAUGUCGGCUCAUCACAUCCUGGGGCUGAAGUCGGUCCCAAGGGUAUGGCUGUUCGCCAUUUAAAGUGGUACGCGAGCUGGGUUUAGAACGUCGUGAGACAGUUCGGUCCCUAUCUGCCGUGGGCGUUGGAAGAUUGAAGGGGGCUGCUCCUAGUACGAGAGGACCGGAGUGGACGAACCUCUGGUGUUCGGGUUGUGUCGCCAGACGCAUUGCCCGGUAGCUAAGUUCGGAAUCGAUAACCGCUGAAAGCAUCUAAGCGGGAAGCGAGCCCUGAGAUGAGUCUUCCCUGAUACUUUAAGUAUCCUAAAGGGUUGUCGGAGACUACGACGUUGAUAGGUCAGGUGUGUAAGUGCUGUGAGGCAUUGAGCUAACUGAUACUAAUUGCCCGUGAGGCUUAACCAUACAACACCCAAGGGGUUU